rnacentral:rRNA from 1 species
UACGGAGGGUGCGAGCGUUGUUCGGAUUUAUUGGGCGUAAAGGGCGUGCAGGCGGUUUCUUAAGUCUGAUGUGAAAGCCCCGGGCUUACCCCGGGAAGUGCAUUGGAAACUGGGAGACUUGAGUACGGGAGAGGAGAGUGGAAUUCCUGGAGUAGGGGUGAAAUCCGCAGAUAUCAGGAGGAACACCGGUGGCGAAGGCGGCUCUCUGGACCGAUACUGACGCUGAGACGCGAAAGCGUGGGGAGCAAACAGGAUUAGAUACCCUGGUAGUCCACGCCGUAAACGAUGAGUACCAGGUGUCGCGGGUAUUGACCCCUGCGGUGCCGCAGCUAACGCAUUAAGUACUCCGCCUGGGAAGUACGGCCGCAAGGCUAAA